UAACCAUGAUUCCCCUAGUAACGGCGAGUGAAGAGGGAAAAGCUCAAAGUUGGAACCUGGCUGUCCUAGAUAGUCCGGAUUGUAAACUAAAGAGCGUGAAUCCAGGCAAGCCGGUUGACAAAGUCCUUUGGAAUGAGGCGCCACUGAGGGUGAGAGCCCCGUAAGUCGACUGAGCAUUUGUCUUUUGUGUUUCGCGUUCAAAGAGUCAGGUUGUUUGGGAAUGCAGCCUAAAGCUGGUGGUAAAUCCCACCUAAAGCUAAAUACAGGCGAGAGACCGAUAGCGAACAAGUACCGUGAGGGAAAGAUGAAAAGUACUUUGAAAAGAGAGUUAAACAGUAUGUGAAAUUGCCAAGAGGGAAGCAUUUGGAGUUAGACUGACUUGAAGUCAAUCAACUUGGUCUUUGGACUGGGUGUACUUGGCUUUUAUGUCUGCCAACAGCAGUUAGUUCUGGUGGAAAAAACUAGAGGGAAGGUAGUCCUUCGGGAUGUUUAUAGACCUUUAGAAAAUACAUCGGAAUUGACUGAGGAAUGCAGUAGAUGCUAUUAGGCUUCGUCUUGUGGGUGUUGGGUAAAGGUACUAGGUGUUUUCAGCUUGCUGAUGCGCUUGGUGCCCGAGUCCAUCCAUUCACAAGUACUGUAAUCUACUUUGGUUGUUGGCUUAAUGACUCUAAAUGG
rnacentral:rRNA from 1 species